rnacentral:lncRNA from 1 species
GAUGGCUGUGGGGAUCAAGGGAGACAGUGGCCAUAGGGAUGCUAUGUUAACCGCAGAUGCGGCUGUAGGAGCACUUUGCUAACUGCCAACGUGAGUUCAGACUCUUCAGGCUAUUUGGCACCCAGGUCUAUGGUGAGGUGUGACAUAUGGGAUGUAAAGUUUGAUGCCUGCUCUGACUCCAGUCUUGCUAACACACACACGAAACCUUUGGCAAAUCAUGACCCUGCCUUGGGGAAAAGGGCAGUCUGGGAGAGCUUCUUCAAGGCAGCCUGGCUUCAAUGCAGUCCGGGGCAUGACUGAGAUAGGCAUACGUUGUGAGGAACUGGAGGGUAACUGGGUAAAGAGCUGCAGUGUGGGCAGAGGUGUAGUGUGGGUCACAUUGAGGAUAGCCACUGGCCAAAGCAGGGAACAGAGACAGAAUGAGGA